rnacentral:rRNA from 1 species
UACGUAGGUGGCAAGCGUUGUCCGGAUUUACUGGGCGUAAAGGGCGUGCAGGCGGUCUGUUAAGUGCAGGGUGAAAGCUCCCGGCUCAACUGGGAGAGGUCCUUGCAUACUGGCGGACUUGAGGGGGGUAGAGGAAAGUGGAAUUCCCGGUGUAGUGGUGAUAUGCGUAGAUAUCGGGAGGAACACCUGUGGCGAAGGCGGCUUUCUGGGCCCUACCUGACGCUGAGGCGCGAAAGCUAGGGGAGCAAACAGG